rnacentral:rRNA from 1 species
AUGCAGUCGAGCGGCAGCACGGGGAGCUUGCUCCCUGGUGGCGAGCGGCGGACGGGUGAGUAAUGCAUAGGAAUCUGCCCGGUAGUGGGGGAUAACGUGGGGAAACCCACGCUAAUACCGCAUACGUCCUACGGGAGAAAGCGGAGGAUCUUCGGACUUCGCGCUAUCGGAUGAGCCUAUGUCGGAUUAGCUAGUUGGUAAGGUAACGGCUUACCAAGGCGACGAUCCGUAGCUGGUCUGAGAGGAUGAUCAGCCACACUGGGACUGAGACACGGCCCAGACUCCUACGGGAGGCAGCAGUGGGGAAUAUUGGACAAUGGGCGAAAGCCUGAUCCAGCCAUGCCGCGUGUGUGAAGAAGGCUUUCGGGUUGUAAAGCACUUUCAGCGAGGAAGAAGGCCUCUGGGUUAAUACCCCAGAGGAAGGACAUCACUCGCAGAAGAAGCACCGGCUAACUCCGUGCCAGCAGCCGCGGUAAUACGGAGGGUGCGAGCGUUAAUCGGAAUUACUGGGCGUAAAGCGCGCGUAGGUGGCUUGGCACGCCGGUUGUGAAAGCCCCGGGCUCAACCUGGGAACGGCAUCCGGAACGGCCAGGCUAGAGUGCAGGAGAGGAAGGUAGAAUUCCCGGUGUAGCGGUGAAAUGCGUAGAGAUCGGGAGGAAUACCAGUGGCGAAUGCGGCCUUCUGGCCUGACACUGACACUGAGGUGCGAAAGCGUGGGUAGCAAACAGGAUUAGAUACCCUGGUAGUCCACGCCGUAAACGAUGUCGACUAGCCGUUGGGACCUUUAAGGACUUAGUGGCGCACUUAACGCGAUAAGUCGACCGCCUGGGGAGUACGGCCGCAAGGUUAAAACUCAAAUGAAUUGACGGGGGCCCGCACAAGCGGUGGAGCAUGUGGUUUAAUUCGAUGCAACGCGGAGAACCUUACCUACCCUUGACAUCCAGAGAAC